GAUGAACGCUAGCUACAGGCUUAACACAUGCAAGUCGAGUGCCCCGCGCACGUGUUAGUAACACUUAUCCAACCUUCCCUUUACUCGGGGAUAGCCUUUCGAAAUAAAUAUUACUACCCUAUUUAUUGGAUUGGGAUCCGUUCCAUUAGGUUGUUGGUGAGGUAACGGCUCACCAAGCCUUCGAUGGAUAGGGGUUCUGAGAGGAAGGUCCCCCACAUUGGAACUGAGGCACGGUCCAAACUCCUACGGGAGGCAGCAGUGAGGAAUAUUAGUCAAUGGGCGUUAGCCUGAACCAGCCAAGUAGCGUGAAGGAUGAAGGCUUAUGGGUCGUAAACUUCUUUUAUAUAAGAAUAUGGAGUAUAAGAAUAAGGAUCGGCUAACUCCGUGCCAGCAGCCGCGGUAAUAG
rnacentral:rRNA from 1 species